GAUGAACGCUGGCGGCGUGCCUAAUACAUGCAAGUCGAGCGAACAGAUAAGGAGCUUGCUCCUUUGACGUUAGCGGCGGACGGGUGAGUAACACGUGGGUAACCUACCUAUAAGACUGGGAUAACUUCGGGAAACCGGAGCUAAUACCGGAUAAUAUUUCGAACCGCAUGGUUCGAUAGUGAAAGAUGGUUUUGCUAUCACUUAUAGAUGGACCCGCGCCGUAUUAGCUAGUUGGUAAGGUAACGGCUUACCAAGGCGACGAUACGUAGCCGACCUGAGAGGGUGAUCGGCCACACUGGAACUGAGACACGGUCCAGACUCCUACGGGAGGCAGCAGUAGGGAAUCUUCCGCAAUGGGCGAAAGCCUGACGGAGCAACGCCGCGUGAGUGAUGAAGGUCUUCGGAUCGUAAAACUCUGUUAUUAGGGAAGAACAUAAGUGUAAGUAACUGUGCACGUCUUGACGGUACCUAAUCAGAAAGCCACGGCUAAAUACGUG
rnacentral:rRNA from 1 species